rnacentral:rRNA from 1 species
GAUGAACGCUGGCUACAGGCUUAACACAUGCAAGUCGAGGGGAAACGACGGGGAAGCUUGCUUCCCCGGGCGUCGACCGGCGCACGGGUGAGUAACGCGUAUCCAACCUGCCUCUGACUGAGGGAUAACCCGUCGAAAGUCGGCCUAAUACCUCAUGGUAUCGUCUGCGGGCAUCCAACGACGAUUAAAGAUUUCAUCGGUCAGGGAUGGGGAUGCGUCUGAUUAGCUUGUUGGCGGGGUAACGGCCCACCAAGGCUACGAUCAGUAGGGGUUCUGAGAGGAAGGUCCCCCACAUUGGAACUGAGACACGGUCCAAACUCCUACGGGAGGCAGCAGUGAGGAAUAUUGGUCAAUGGGCGAGAGCCUGAACCAGCCAAGUAGCGUGCAGGAAGACGGCCCUAUGGGUUGUAACCUGCUUUUAUGCGGGGAUAAAGUGAGGGACGUGUCCCUCAUUGCAGGUACCGCAUGAAUAAGGACCGGCUAAUUCCGUG